AAAAAAUCCUAGAACUUUUGAUCAAGAGGCAAAGCUGAACUUUUUCACUGGGUUCCAAGGAAAGUCAACACCUCUUAAAAACAUCAAGGGAAAAAAAGGCUGUUGACAUUAAUAUUUUUGCAUAGUGAAACCACUAUAUUGUCUCAGACCUACAGAGGUACUGUGUAGUAUCUCAUCCCAUGCCUUGGCUUGGUUGUGCAAGAGAAGCAGUUUGUCAGCACCCAAUCUGGCAAAGCAAUCUGAACACACGAGAGGUUGCUUUCUUAUAUCGGUUGGUCCGUACACACCGGAUAUAAAAUUAAUCUUGUUAUUUAGUAUUUUUAUUUGCUUAGCUGGAAAAGAAUGUUUUACGAGACAUUCUUAGGUUAGCGAUGUCUGUCUUGUAGCUAUCCCUUUUGUGAUUAUUAGGAAAGAUAAAUUUACUUGUCUUCUGAAAUAUUCAUAGUUCUGUUCCCAAAAUAGCAGACUGCUGACAUUCCGAUAAAAAGUACUGCAUAGAAAGUCUAUGAGGAAAAUAUGUCCAAGUGUAUAUAAAGAGAAGCAUGAAAUGUGUUAAGCUAUGAGGAAUGUUCUUUCUUACCUACACAGAAUUAUUAUUAUUUGUCUUAAAAUACACCAAGUCUUUUUUCUACAUGCUUCUUGGGGAAAAGCAGUUAGGAAAAUAUAGGACAGAAUGCCAGCAGUAAUCAUGAUUCCAUACCAGAUAGUCCUCUGGAUCAAAGACCGGAUGGUUCAGGGGUAGAACCUUCAGUAACUACAGCUACUCUUGAAAACCACCCAAGUUUGGACUGCCCAGUUUCUUCGGAAAUCGAAGCUCAGUCUCCUGAGAGGAGGCAUGAAUAGAACUGUUCUUGAAUCCAGCUCACGGCACUGAAUUCUGCUGUUGGCAAUCAGAAGACAGAUGUGGGAGUUUGAGACCUCACUUCUCUUCCUCUUGGCAAUAGUAACCUGACACAGCCAGAGCUUUUAAAAUAUUUAAUGCCUUUUCUGUGACAAAACCUGAGGCCUGUUGCAGGAACGAUUUGGAAGGCUAAGCAAAAGCGGCCGGGUUAAUAACUAGCAAAGGAGCACGCUAUUUCAUCUGAAGUUGUUUCCCCAUUCCCCGCACCUGAAUGGAAGUGUUGUAAACAAACACAUUAUGAUUGUCUUCAUAAUUUUCUGGAUUGUAAUUAAUUUUCACAGACAAACCACCACCACCACCUCGCCAUUCAGUUCCAUUUCCUCUUGCUUAAUGCAAGAGGAACAUUUUAAUUCAAUAUUAGGGAAAGGGAAGACAAGAGCUCAUAGCGGUUUUUCUUAAGACAGUGAUUAUUUAUUAUGAGGUGCAGGCUUCCCUGGAGCAGUUCUGUAACCGACCGAAACUUAAGAGAAAAUACCAUAGUUAAAUACGGAAAUGAAGGAAGGAGCCACAUAGAAUUCUGUCUUUUGCAAAGACUUCUCAGAGGUGCUGAAGAACUUUUGGCUGGUAAAAGUUCUACGUGAAACAUCUGCUGAAGCCUUCCUAACCAGACAAGGGGCAUUUUUAUGUUGCCACGGCCAGGCCGGAGCGCAUUAGCAUUUUAGAAAGAACCAGUACAAGAAAAUGUGAUUGUCCAUAACCCUGCAAGAGCAGGAUAUGGGACGAGAUGUGCGGUGGUGGUGUUUGAAGACCUGAACUGUGAGGGUACAGUUGGAAGAUACUAAUGAUUUUAUAUGGGAUGAAUUUGCUCUAAUCACCGAAGAGGGAUUGUCCUACAGAAGCAGUCUAUGUGGAUUUUUUUUUGGUCUCUGGUGUAUGUGAUAGGGAAACAUGACUCCUUCACCUCAGACAGAUCUGAGAAGUUCAUAUUUGUAUAUCACAAUAACAACAAAGGGUCAGGUAUGUCUAGCUUUAUUAGAUUUUUGGGAGUGGUGAUGCUGAUAUCACUUCCCUAACUGAGGCCUGCAGUCUGUUCUAAAAGCCGGUAAUGAGAGGAUAUUCAGCAGCAGGCAUAUACCGGUACAUCAGCUGCUUCUUGAAAAGUUUUCUUAGCCAGGCCAAUAUAGUUUAUUUUAUGAUAGAAUAUGUUUAUUUAAGGGGAAAGGGAAUAAAAUUUAUAGAGUGUAUUUAAAGUGCCUGCGGAUUGGGAAGGGGUACAAAUCCUAAUUAUUGUAUAGGAAAGGAAGACAUAGUUAAUAAUAAAAGCAGCUAGAAAAAGAGAAAAAACGGAUAGAGCAUAUUGAUCAUGUUGUCUUAGCACUAUUUUGUCAAGAUAUUGACAUUCGGAUUUGACAUUUCACUGAAUUGAACCCAGUUCUCAUACAUUCUUUGUUAUUAUAGCUGAGGGAAAACGUUAGAAUCAAUUUUAUAGUGCUUAGGCUUCAAGCAUAUACUGUAUGUCAAACUUAGCCUUCCAUUAAAGGAGUCCCAUUCAUGUGUGGUUUUGCCCAGAUGGUUUUUGAGCCAGUGGGAUGCCAUUUAUGCUCCAGGGGCUGGUGUGGCUCAUAAAAUUAAACUUUCAGAUACUUUGAUUUUGAAUGCAGAAUAUGGAAUACCUUAAGAUAGAUGUUAAGGGUGUUUUCCUUACAUAAGCCUUAAGGGACUGUAACAAUCUGUACCUGGGACCAAAUAUUGGCAAGUAGUUAUUAGCUAUUUUUUGCACUUCAACUUAAAUGUACUGUAAAUUUCUCUUGACUUGUUUAAGUGACCUUUAAAAAUAAAAUCAGAAAUCUAUU